CACGUAGGGGGCGAGCGUUGUCCGGAAUCACUGGGCGUAAAGCGUGCGCAGGCGGCCCGUUAAGACAGGUGUGAAAUCCCUGGGCUCAACCUAGGAAUUGCGCUUGUGACUGGCGGGCUCGAGUACGGUAGAGGGGGGUGGAAUUCCUGGUGUAGCAGUGAAAUGCGUAGAGAUCAGGAGGAACACCGAUGGCGAAGGCAGCCCCCUGGGCCUGUACUGACGCUCAUGCACGAAAGCGUGGGGAGCAAACAGG
rnacentral:rRNA from 1 species